UAUAAUAUGAUGACAAUAUAUUUGCUACUCUUGACUCUUUUUAAGAGUAUGACGAUUUACCACCAAGAUCUCUGAUUUA
rnacentral:snoRNA from 1 species